AUUGCCUUUACAUUUCGAUCAUUGAAGCGCAGCGGCAUUUUGUUAUUGUGUUGAACUACGGUGUCUAAAACAAAGGACAAAAACAACUGAACACUUUGUUUUAUUCUUCUGUCAAAAAUGCGUCCUAGAAUUCAGGUCAAAUAUGUUACAAAGCACAUGAAGUAUUUAGAAGAAAACAUGAAAGUCAUUAAACCUGUGGUUGAAGCUUUGCGAAUUGCUGUAGAAAAAAGUAAGACUUGGUUAGAAGAUAAAAGUGACAACAAAUCUUUGACAUAUAGCGAUCUUUGUCAAGAACUUGAAUCAGCUACCUUGACAAUGUUGGAUGUAGCGGCUCAUA